rnacentral:tRNA from 1 species
GACAAUGUGACCAAGUGGUUAAGGUGGUUGACUCGAAAUCAGCUAGGAGUUCCCGCGCAGGCUCAAAUCCUGUCGAUUUAGGACA